AGUACAAGUGAGUUCCCCCAAGGGGUCGGCCGCGCCUCUUCCUGUCCCCGCCCUGCCGGCUGCCCCAGGCCAGUGGAGUGGCAGCCCCAGAACUGGGACCACCGGGGGCGGUGAGGCGGCUUGGCACUGGGAGCUGCAUCUGAGGCUUAGUCCCUGAGUUCUCCGCCUGCCCAGACUAGCUGCACCUCCUCAUUCCCUGCGCCCCCUUCCUCUCCGGAAGCCCCCCAGGAUGGUGAGGUGGUUUCACCGAGACCUCAGUGGGCUGGAUGCAGAGACCCUGCUCAAGGGCCGAGGUGUCCAUGGUAGCUUCCUGGCUCGGCCCAGUCGCAAGAACCAGGGUGACUUCUCGCUCUCCGUCAGGUAGGUGGGCCCCCCCAACCCCGGGUGUUUUGGCCACUCUCUUGUGCCGUCCAGGCCCUGAACCACUCAUUCCUGGUUCCCCGUGGCAGUGCUGACUCCCCCGUCUGUUCCCUGGCCCCAACCCCCGCACUCUCCAUCCCUGUCUGUACCCACCCAUGCCCAUGUGUGCCCCCACCCAGGACCUCAGCCGAUCCCUGCCCUCCUGCCUCUACUCCUGCACCGACUGGCCUCACCGCCUGGUGCCCUGCAGGGUAGGGGAUCAGGUGACCCAUAUUCGGAUCCAGAACUCAGGGGAUUUCUAUGACCUGUAUGGAGGGGAGAAGUUCGCAACACUGACAGAGCUGGUGGAGUACUACACUCAGCAGCAGGGCGUCCUGCAGGACCGCGAUGGCACCAUCAUCCACCUCAAGUACCCGCUGAACUGCUCCGAUCCCACUAGUGAGAGGUGAGGGCUCCACACCCCCGCCACUCCCAAGCAGGGACGAGCCGGCUCCCACCCUGAGUGGCCAGGGAGGCAGGGAGCCUGGCAGCUGGCACUGCCUACCCUCCAUCCCCUCCCCUCCCUGCACCGGCUGGGGCUCUCAGUGUCCCUCCUCCAUGCUGUCCUGCGGCCUGGUGUCUCAGAGCCUAACCUACCACCCUUUCCAUCUACCCCCCGAGGAAGCCACAGAAAGCUGCCUUGCCCUACUCCAGGGGCCCUGGCUGCUGCAACCCAGGUCCCACUAGAGACAGGGAGGCCACUGCUGGUGGCCAGCAUGUUGUGCAGGCCAGCUGUGUUGUUAGAAAGCUCUUCUUCCUCUGGAAGCGAGCUUGCCUUCCUCCGUCUGCCCCUCACCCCAGCACAUGUUAGGACAGUGAGGAGUUGACAGUGGGGUGAAGAUGGGGAUGAAUGCUUGCCAGGACACUUGAUGCCUUGUCCCAGCUGCCCAGUGGGGAUGGGUCUGUCCUGUGGGGUCAAACAGGUCUCUGGCCCAGACAGAGAUCACUGAGAGCAGGAUGUGAAGUGUUCACCUGUGUGAAGGGUCUCACGCUGUCCCCGGCACAGAGUAAUACUCCAGGCAUUUCCUUCCUGUGGUCUCCCAAAGGCACGGGCUGGGGGCUGGGGGCUCUGAACGCUCCUCAGGACACCAUGGCUCCUUUCAGCAGCCGCAUCUCAAUGCCAGAUCCUCUAGAGUAAAGGGCAGCGGAAUAACGCUAUGGGGUUUUCACAUGGACCCCUGGGCCGAGCCGAUUUGCCCUUGCCCUGCAUUCGUGGAUCGGUUAUUGAAAUGAUUGGGAAACUUGCUUCUGCCAGCUUGCAGCCUCUCUGAGAUUCGGGCCUCCAAACUGCAUCAAUAUUUUUGGUCAAGUCACUGAUUGAAACUUAGAGCUGGAUUCGGUCACGGUACAGCCCUGUGGCCCACCUGGGAGGCCUCCUUUCCUUGAUCUGCCUCCUUCAAGGCCGUCCUUCUCUCUGUGAGCCUCACAUGGCUGGCUCCGUGUCUGCCCCCCUGCUCUUCCUCUUCCCCACCGCAACACUCAGGGGGCUUUUGCCACUGAGACCCUCUAAAGCUCACGUCCUCUCUUUCUCCUUGCCUCAAGCCAGGAGAGGAGGACGGGCUGACCAGUGCCUGGAGUUGGAAGAGAGGAGCAGGGCCCCAGGAGGCCCCUGCAGA
rnacentral:sRNA from 1 species